rnacentral:tRNA from 1 species
CCAGCCACUGCCGUACGCGGUGCCGGACCGGGUCAGGAUCCCGGCGAUCCAGGUCGACGCGCCGAUCAUGCCGGUGGGGCUGGAC